rnacentral:rRNA from 1 species
UGAACGACUCUCGGCAACGGAUAUCUCGGCUCUUGCAUCGAUGAAGAACGUAGCGAAAUGCGAUACUUGGUGUGAAUUGCAGAAUCCCGUGAACCAUCGAGUCUUUGAACGCAAGUUGCGCCUGAAGCAUUAGGUUGAAGGCACGUCUGNNNNNNNNUCACGC